AGCCCCCAGUGGAUAUACACUACACAAAACAGACUUCCUCUCUGGGUGGAAUGCAACAUAGAGUCCGCUGCCACCGUAAACCAUUCUUGAACGCCACAAUUGAACGAGUAUAGAAAUAAACGUGGUAGCAAUGUAAAACUGGGAUCCUAUUCUUUAAAAAAACAAAAAAACAAAGGCCAAAAGUUAUUUCAAACGUGUUCUCAUGCUGUUUGCAUUAAGAAUAGUUGUGCAUUGACUGCUUGAACACGUUUCUUUCCUUUGGCUCUAGCAUUAAAUGCGUCUCAAGAGGAAUAUUUAUCUCGCAUAGCACACACAAGCCGACUAGACCUGAGCCCUAGGACCAUGCCUCAGGACUACCUGGCCUGAUGACUCCUUGCUGUCUCCAGUCCACCUGGUCGUGCUGCUGCUCCAGUUUCAACUGUUCUGCCUGUGUCUAUGAAACCCUGACCUUUUCACCGGUCAUGCUACCUUGUCCCAGACCUGCUGUUUUCAACUCUCUAGAGGCAGCAGGAGCUGUAAAGAUACUCUGAAUGAUUGGCUAUGAAAAGCCAACUGACAUUUACUCCUGAGGUGUUGACCUGUUGCACCCUCUACAACCACUGUGAUAAUUAUUAUUUGACCCUGCUGGUCAUCUAUGAACAUUUGAACAUCUUGGCCAUGUUCUGUUAUAAUCUCCACCCGGCACAGCAAGAAGAGGACUGGCCACCCCUCAUAGCCUGGUUCCUCUCUAGGUUUCUUCCUAGGUUCUGGCCUUUCUAGGGAGUAUUUCCUAGCCCCCGUGCUUCUACACCUACAUUGCUUGCUGUUUGGGGUUUUAGGCUGGGUUUCUGUAUAACACUUUGUGACAUCAGCUGAUGUAAGUAGGGCUUUAUAAAUACAUUUGAUUGACUGAGUGUUGCCAUUGUUUAUAAAAGUAAUUUUUCUAUAAUGUUGAAAUAAACACGUAGCUAACCCCAAUAUCACACACACAAACAGAAAUCAUAAUACAAUACUAUGUGUGUACACAUAGUACGAUCAAUUAGAGAAAGCCUCAAAUAUCACAUUUAUUCGUAUAAAUCCAUUGUAAUCAUAAAUCACAGCAAAUUGGUUUGUGUUUCAAAUCCAAUCCAAUGUUAUUUGUCACAUGCUUCGUAAAUAACAGGUUUAGACUAACA